CACGCCCUAAACGAUGUCAACUGGUUGUUGGGGGAUUUAUUCUCUUAGUAACGAAGCUAACGCGUGAAGUUGACCGCCUGGGGAGUACGGUCGCAAGAUUAAAACUCAAAGGAAUUGACGGGGGCCCGCACAAGCGGUGGAUGAUGUGGAUUAAUUCGAUGCAACGCGAAAAACCUUACCUACGCUUGACAUGUCCGAAAUCCCCGAGAGAUUGGGGAGUGCUCGAAAGAGAAUCGGAACACAGGUGC
rnacentral:rRNA from 2 species